rnacentral:rRNA from 1 species
AACGAACGCUGGCGGCAUGCCUAACACAUGCAAGUCGAACGAGCCCUUCGGGUCUAUUCUCGUCCGACUUCGUCACCCGUCGGAAUCUUCACUUGUGUUCAGGAUAACUGUUGGAAACGACUACUAAUACCGGAUGAUGACUUCGGCCCAAUGAUUUAUUGCCCCGGGUUGUGCCCUCGUCGGAUUAGCUGGUUGUUUCGGUAAGAGCUCACUAAGGCGACGAUUCGUAGAUGGUCUGAGAGGAUGAUCAGCCACACUGGGAGUAGGACCCGGCCGAGACUCCUACGGGAGGGAGGAGUGGGGAAUAAUGGAAAAUCGGGGAAAGGCUGAUCGAGUAAUGACGGGUAAGUGAUGAAGGCCUUAGAGAUGAAAAGCUCAAUUAACCGGGAUGAUAAUGACAGUACCGGGAGAAUAAGCCACGGCUAACUCCGUG